rnacentral:rRNA from 1 species
ACGCGAAAUCCCCCUUCGGGGAGAAGUAGAGUGGCGCACGGGUGAGUAACACGUAGGUAAUCUACCUCUGGGUGGGGAAUAACAGCCGGAAACGGCUGCUAAUACCGCAUAACGCAGCGGCACCACAUGGUGACAGUUGUUAAAGCGGGGGAACUUCGGUCCUCGCGCCUGGAGAGGAGCCUGCGGCGGAUUAGCUAGUUGGCAGGGUAACGGCCUACCAAGGCUUCGAUCCGUAGCCGGCCUGAGAGGGCGGUCGGCCACACUGGCACUGACAUACGGGCCAGACUCCUACGGGAGGCAGCAGUCGGGAAUUUUGGGCAAUGGGCGAAAGCCUGACCCAGCAACGCCGCGUGGAGGAUGAAGUUUCUCGGAAUGUAAACUCCGUAAGAGUGGGAAGAAUAAGGAGGGGUUAAUACCCCCUUCGAUGACGGUACCAUUCGUAAGCUCCGGCUAACUCCGUGCCAGCAGCCGCGGUAAUACGGGGGGAGCAAGCGUUGUUCGGAUUUACUGGGCGUAAAGGGCGCGUAGGCGGCGCAACAAGUCACUUGUGAAAUCUCCGGGCUUAACCCGGAGCGGCCAAGUGAUACUGUCGUGCUAGAGUGCGGAAGGGGCUACUGGAAUUCUCGGUGUAGCGGUGAAAUGCGUAGAUAUCGAGAGGAACACCUGCGGCGAAGGCGGGUAGCUGGGGCGACACUGACGCUGAGGCGCGAAAGCUAGGGGAGCGAACGGGAUUAGAUACCCCGGUAGUCCUAGCC